rnacentral:rRNA from 1 species
UACGUAGGGGGCAAGCGUUGUCCGGAUUUAUUGGGCGUAAAGAGCGUGUAGGCGGCUAGAUAGGUCCGUUGUGAAAACUCGAGGCUCAACCUCGAGACGCCGGUGGAAACCAUCUAGCUAGAGUCCGGAAGAGGAGAGUGGAAUUCCUGGUGUAGCGGUGAAAUGCGCAGAUAUCAGGAAGAACACCCGUGGCGAAGGCGGCUCUCUGGUACGUGACUGACGCUGAGACGCGAAAGCUAGGGGAGCGAACAGG